AAUAGGAAACUUGGCGAUGGAAAGCUAUAAACCCCGCCAGAUCCGGAAGGAAGCAACGGCAGUAGAUUUUUUCAGGUGUCUAAGACAAUCUUAGUUGC
rnacentral:SRP_RNA from 1 species